CCUACGGGGGGCAGCAGUGGGGGAUAUUGGACAAUGGGGGGAACCCUGAUCCAGCGACGCCGCGUGAGUGAAGAAGUAUUUCGGUAUGUAAAGCUCUGUCAGCAGGGAAGAAAGAAAUGACGGUACCUGACCAAGAAGCCCCGGCUAACUACGUGCCAGCAGCCGCGGUAAUACGUAGGGGGCAAGCGUUAUCCGGAAUUACUGGGUGUAAAGGGAGCGUAGACGGUUAAGUAAGUCUGGAGUGAAAGGCCGGGGGCCAACCCCGGGACUGCCCUGGAAACUAUUGAACUUGAGUGCAGGGGAGGUAAGCGGAAUUCCUAGUGUAGCGGUGAAAUGCGUAGAUAUUAGGAAGAACACCAGUGGUGAAGGCAGCUUACUGGACUGUAACUGACGUUGAGGCUCGAAAGCGUGGGGAGCAAACAGGAUUAGAUACCCUAGUAGUC
rnacentral:rRNA from 1 species